rnacentral:rRNA from 1 species
GACGAACGCUGGCGGCGUGCUUAACACAUGCAAGUCGAACGGAAAGGCCCUGCUUGCAGGGUGCUCGAGUGGCGAACGGGUGAGUAACACGUGGGUGAUCUGCCCCUUACUUUGGGAUAAGCCUGGGAAACUGGGUCUAAUACUGGAUAGGACCAUGCUGUAGGUGGUGUGGUGGAAAGAUUAGUUUCGGUAAGGGAUGAGCUCGCGGCCUAUCAGCUUGUUGGUGGGGUAAUGGCCUACCAAGGCGUCGACGGGUAGCCGGCCUGAGAGGGUGGACGGCCACAUUGGGACUGAGAUACGGCCCAGACUCCUACGGGAGGCAGCCGUGGGGAAUAUUGCACAAUGGGCGCAAGCCUGAUGCAGCGACGCCGCGUGGGGGAUGACGGCCUUCGGGUUGUAAACUCCUUUCAGCCAUGACGAAGCCCUUGUGGUGACGGUAGUGGUAGAAGAAGCACCGGCUAACUACGUG